UCGAGGGAGGCACCCUGUAGCCAUCAGGUUUUCUUUUCCAAACCUCUUCAACCUCUCCAGACAUCCUGGAAUGAGUCCCUGAGAGCCAGCUAGUAACUAGACGGGGGAAAAUGUCUAAAAGUGGGAGAAACUGUCUUCAUAUCAACAACAAUAGCUUAAGAAACUACAAUGGUGGAUCUAAUCAAUCCUACUUCAUAUGAAGAUCAAAACCUACUUCAGGAUUCAUUUUAGAAAGUACAUAUUGAAAAACUAUAUUGAAAAAUGACCCAUUGGAAUCUAGAUUGACAUGGCAACAUUUGAAACAAGUGGCCUAGCUAACACAGUCGACCAUGCAGAAGGAGUUGCAACAUUUAUAGAAAUACCGAAGGAAUUCUUGUGAACAGUAAUUGCCGAAAGGAAAGAAAGAAUGGAUAAGAAUGGGUUCACGGUUUCAGUGUCGGUGACAUUACUGAGUUCAUGUUAGCAAAUGAGGUCCCUUCCAAACACAAUUAUGUAAACUGUUUGUAUUGGAUUGAAAGGGGUCAUAUUCUCUUACAUACAUGCAGCAUUAAAAAAUCUACCAUCAUGUAAAAAAAAAUAGUCUGGAAAAAGUAAGUCUUUCUCAAUUUUCCUCAAUCACUCAAAUUUAUUUUAAAGUCCAG
rnacentral:lncRNA from 1 species